rnacentral:lncRNA from 1 species
CUAACAAUGGGCAUGCUCUAAUAAGGUGAACUAACAUUGAACUUCUUGCUCCUUGUCUGCUUAGGGUCAUUGGCUUCCUGGAAGCUAUUGUUUGCAUAAAAUUUGGACAAGAUCUCUUCUCUAAGACCCAAAUACUCUACGUUGUACUUUGGCUUCUUUGUGUGGCCUUCACCACAUUCCUGUGUCUGUAUGGCAUGGUUUGGUAUGCAGAGCACUGUGGUCACCGGGAAAAGACCUAUUCAGAGUGUGAAGAUGGCAUUUACAGCCCAGAGAUCUCCUGGCAUCAUGGGAAAGGCUCAAAAGGUUCUGAAGACAGCCCACCCAAGCAUUCAAGCAACAAUGAAAGCCAUUCUUCCAGAAGAAGGAACCGGCAUUCCAAGUCCAAAGUCACCAACGGAGUUGGAAAGAAAUGAAGGAGCCUGGUUAAUCUCAGAUGUUCCAGAGAGUGCCUAGACCUGAGAGGGAAACAGAACACUUUUGGACCUUCCUGUAUGGAGAUCAAAAUGUACAGAAGGAACAAAGGGAGCCUUGGGGAUCAUGAUUUGAGAGUGUAAGUUUUGUCUCCCAUAGACCUGGACACACAUUAGACUGACCAUGGCUUGGGUCUUUUGCCAACUGGAGGUGUCUCCUAACUUCAGCACAUGGCCUUUGGUUUCUGGUAGCAAUACAGUAUGCUGGAAGAACAGGAUACCUGGCUUGCCAGUAAUGGCUCUGUGCUGAUGUGUCUUGUAGACGUUGUAUAAAUGUCUUCAUUCAGAUGUUAACUUUAACCAACUGGUUGAUGAACUGGUCUGGGUUUUAUUUCUAUGAGUCUGCCUUUCCAUUUGAUGGGUUGUUUAAGUUCACUCAGUCUACUUUUACUUUGUGAUUUCAAGUUAGAAUGCUUAAAAGCUUCCAGAAUCCAUUGCUGAAAUUGGGGGAGGGUUCCUUCUAGAGAAACAAAGGGUUGGGGGAGCUUUUGUGUCCCUGCUUAGCAUACUCAGUCCCCAGCCACUUGACAGAUGACCAGCAGCCUAAGUUUGAAGAAGGCUGGCUGCUUGCAUUGGAGCCUGGGCUUCAGUUUGAAACCUAUUAGUUCUACACUAAUGCUAUUGUUUGUCUUGAUGGAGUGCACAAAAGUGACCCUGCUGGAGGAACUGGGACACUGCGGCUCCUCUCCUGCCAGGUGCCUUUUCCAUGUGCGUGGUAUUCCUUCUAUGGUGUGUUGCCUACUUUGUUUUUCUGUCUCCUGUGAGGUGCUAGUGAGUAUUAAUUAACGUUCAUCUGUGCCAUGCUCUCCUAGAACAUUUUCCCAGUCUACCCUGGAACUUUGUUUUAAAUAAAUCAAUUAAAAACUCAU